rnacentral:rRNA from 1 species
UGGGGAAUUUUGGACAAUGGGCGAAAGCCUGAUCCAGCAAUGCCGCGUGUGUGAGGAAGGCCUUCGGGUUGUAAAGCACUUUUGUCCGGAAAGAAAUCCUUGGCUCUAAUACAGUCGGGGGAUGACGGUACCGGAAGAAUAAGCACCGGCUAACUACGUGCCAGCAGCCGCGGUAAUACGUAGGGUGCAAGCGUUAAUCGGAAUUACUGGGCGUAAAGCGUGCGCAGGCGGUUUGCUAAGACCGAUGUGAAAUCCCCGGGCUCAACCUGGGAACUGCAUUGGUGACUGGCAGGCUAGAGUAUGGCAGAGGGGGGUAGAAUUCCACGUGUAGCAGUGAAAUGCGUAGAGAUGUGGAGGAAUACCGAUGGCGAAGGCAGCCCCCUGGGCCAAUACUGACGCUCAUGCACGAAAGCGUGGGGAGCAAACAGGAUUAGAUACCCUGGUAGUCCACGCCCUAAACGAUGUCAACUAGUUGUUGGGGAUUCAUUCCUUAGUAACGUAGCUAACGCGUGAAGUUGACCGCCUGGGGAGUACGGUCGCAAGAUUAAAACUUAAAGGAAUUGACGGGGUCAUAGCUGUUUCCU